rnacentral:sRNA from 1 species
UUGAUUGUAGAUAAGAUCGUGGAUGC